rnacentral:rRNA from 1 species
GACGAACGCUGGCGGCGUGCUUAACACAUGCAAGUCGAACGGAAAGGCCCUGCUUUUGUGGGGUGCUCGAGUGGCGAACGGGUGAGUAACACGUGAGUAACCUGCCCUUUACUUUGGGAUAACUUCAGUAAACUGGGGCUAAUACCGGAUAGGAGCUCCUGCUGCAUGGUGUUGGUUGGAAAGUUUCGGCGGUUGGGGAUGGACUCGCGGCUUAUCAGCUUGUUGGUGGGGUAGUGGAUUACCAAGGCUUUGACGGGUAGCCGGCCUGAGAGGGUGACAGGCCACAUUGGGACUGAGAUAGGGCCCAGAGUCAUACGGGAGGAAGGAGCGGGGAAUAUUGCAAAAUGGGCGGAAGCAUGAUGCAGCAACGUCGGGUGCGGGAUGACGGUCUUCGGGUUGUAACCCGCUUUAGCCUGUGACGAAGAGUGAGUGACGGUAAUGGGUAAAGAAGCACCGGCUAACUACGUG